rnacentral:rRNA from 1 species
AGGGUGACAGCCCCGUACACAAAAGCGCAUGUGCUGUGAGCUCGAUGAGUAGGGCGGGACACGUGGUAUCCUGUCUGAAUAUGGGGGGACCAUCCUCCAAGGCUAAAUACUCCUGACUGACCGAUAGUGAACCAGUACCGUGAGGGAAAGGCGAAAAGAACCCCGGCGAGGGGAGUGAAAAAGAACCUGAAACCGUGUACGUACAAGCAGUGGGAGCACAGGUUUACCUGUGUGACUGCGUACCUUUUGUAUAAUGGGUCAGCGACUUAUAUUCUGUAGCAAGGUUAACCGUAUAGGGGAGCCGGAGGGAAACCGAGUCUUAAUUGGGCGUUAAGUUGCAGGGUAUAGACCCGAAACCCGGUGAUCUAGCCAUGGGCAGGUUGAAGGUUGGGUAACACUAACUGGAGGACCGAACCGACUAAUGUUGAAAAAUUAGCGGAUGACCUGUGGCUGGGGGUGAAAGGCCAAUCAAACCGGGAGAUAGCUGGUUCUCCCCGAAAGCUAUUUAGGUAGCGCCUCGUGAAUUCAUCUCCGGGGGUAGAGCACUGUUUCGGCUAGGGGGCCAUCCCGGCUUACCAACCCGAUGCA